GGAGUCUAGCAUGUGCGCGAGUCAUUGGGACUCGAAUGAAACCUAAAGGCGUAAUGAAAGUGAAGGUUCGCCUUGCGCGGACCAAGGGAGGAUGGUCGAUCGUCAGAGGUCGUCCCGCACUCCCUGGGCGUCUCGUUCUCAUCGCGAGAAGAGGCGCACCAAGAGCGUACACGCUGGGACCCGAAAGAUGGUGAACUAUGCCUGGUCAGGACGAAGUCAGGGGAAACCCUGAUGGAGGUCCGUAGCGAUUCUGACGUGCAAAUCGAUCGUCGGAACUGGGUAUAGGGGCGAAAGACUAAUCGAACCAUCUAGUAGCUGGUUCCCUCCGAAGUUUCCCUCAGGAUAGCUGGCGCUCGCUUCUCGCGAGUCUCAUUCGGUAAAGCGAAUGAUUAGAGGCAUUGGGGUCGAAACGGCCUCAACCUAUUCUCAAACUUUAAAUGGGUGAGAUCUCCGGCUUGCUUGAACUGUCGUGAAGCCGCGAGAUAUCGGAUCAGAGUGCCAAGUGGGCCACUUUUGGUAAGCAGAACUGGCGCUGUGGGAUGAACCAAACGCUGAGUUAAAGCGCCUAAAUCGACGCUUAUGGGAUACCAUGAAAGGCGUUGGUAACUUAAGACAGCAGGACGGUGGCCAU
rnacentral:rRNA from 1 species